rnacentral:rRNA from 1 species
GGGGGAAUUUUGGACAAUGGGGGAAACCCUGAUCCAGCCAUCCCGCGUGUGCGAUGAAGGCCUUCGGGUUGUAAAGCACUUUUGGCAGGAAAGAAACGUCAUGGGUUAAUACCCCGUGAAACUGACGGUACCUGCAGAAUAAGCACCGGCUAACUACGUGCCAGCAGCCGCGGUAAUACGUAGGGUGCAAGCGUUAAUCGGAAUUACUGGGCGUAAAGCGUGCGCAGGCGGUUCGGAAAGAAAGAUGUGAAAUCCCAGAGCUCAACUUUGGAACUGCAUUUUGAACUACCGGGCUAGAGUGUGUCAGAGGGAGGUGGAAUUCCGCGUGUAGCAGUGAAAUGCGUAGAUAUGCGGAGGAACACCGAUGGCGAAGGCAGCCUCCUGGGAUAACACUGACGCUCAUGCACGAAAGCGUGGGGAGCAAACAAG